rnacentral:rRNA from 1 species
GUGGCGGACGGGUGAGUAAUGUCUGGGAAACUGCCUGAUGGAGGGGGAUAACUACUGGAAACGGUAGCUAAUACCGCAUAACGUCGCAAGACCAAAGAGGGGGACCCUCGGGCCUCUUGCCAUCGGAUGUGCCCAGAUGGGAUUAGCUUGUUGGUGGGGUAACGGCUCACCAAGGCGACGAUCCCUAGCUGGUCUGAGAGGAUGACCAGCCACACUGGAACUGAGACACGGUCCAGACUCCUACGGGAGGCAGCAUG